rnacentral:rRNA from 1 species
CAGCAGCGGUAAUACGAAGGGGGCUAGCGUUGCUCGGAAUGACUGGGCGUAAAGGGCGCGUAGGCGGAUUGCGCAGUCAGAUGUGAAAUUCCUGGGCUUAACCUGGGGGCUGCAUUUGAGACGCGUAGUCUAGAGUGUGAAAGAGGGUCGUGGAAUUCCCAGUGUAGAGGUGAAAUUCGUAGAUAUUGGGAAGAACACCGGUGGCGGAGGCGGCGACCUGGUUCAUGACUGACGCUGAGGCGCGAAAGCGUGGGGAGCAAACAGGAUUAGAUACCCCAGUAGUCCCUGUCUCUUAUACACA